rnacentral:rRNA from 1 species
UACGGAGGAUGCAAGCGUUAUCCGGAUUCAUUGGGUUUAAAGGGUGCGUAGGCGGGCUAUUAAGUCAGUGGUGAAAUCCUGCAGCUUAACUGCAGAACUGCCGUUGAUACUGAUAGUCUUGAGUUUGGUUAAGGUAGGCGGAAUGUGUAAUGUAGCGGUGAAAUGCUUAGAUAUUACACAGAACACCAAUUGCGUAGGCAGCUUACUGAGCCGACACUGACGCUGAGGCACGAAAGCAUGGGGAUCAAACAGGA